rnacentral:pre_miRNA from 1 species
UUAUAGGUCACUUUGGGGUCUUGUUAAAAUUUAGAUUCUGAUUCAGCAGGCCUGGGGUGGAGCCUGAGGUCCUGCAUUUCUAACUAGUUCUCAGCUAACACUAUA